UUGUUGAUUUCGUUUCAAUCUCAGUAGGUCAUGCAUAAUACGAAGGUUCGAAUCCCCACGAGGGGU
rnacentral:tRNA from 2 species